UGUAAUUCAGUUUUCCUUUAAAAACUGCAAAUUGGUUUUAAUUAAACAGAUUGAUUGAUUGAUUGAUUGAAACACAACAUAAGAGACGAACGGCCAUGUUGGUGUGAUUUUGAAAAAGAAUAACCCUCAUUCUGACAUUAAAAGAAGUCGGAAUUCAAAAAAAAAAUUGGAAUUUGAAAAAAAGGUGGAAUUUAAAAAAAAAGUCGGAAUUCGAAAAAAAAAGUCGGAAUUUAAAAAAAGUUGGAAUUUUAAAAAAAAAGUCGGAAUUCGAAAAAAAAAGUCGGAAUUUUAAAAAAGUCGGAAUUUUAAAAAAAAAGUCGGAAUUCGAAAAAAAAAGUCGGAAUUUAAAAAAAGUUGGA